AACCCUCUGGCAUGAGGCAAAAAAGGAAAGGGGAGAUGUUUGGAGUGAUGUUGUUUGUCUUUCCAAGUUCCUGUUACAUGUGAUGGAGCCCAGUUUACCUGGAGCUGGCUGAACACCUGCCUGUCCAUGGGAAGAGGGGAAUGGAUUCUUUGUUUGCCUUUGCUU